CGUGUAGGCGGUCGAUCAAGUCGGAGGUGAAAUCCCUCGGCUCAACUGAGGAAUUGCCUUCGAUACUGUUCGGCUUGAGUCCUGGAGAGGGUAGCGGAAUUCCCGGUGUAGCGGUGAAAUGCGUAGAGACCGGGAAGAACACCAGUGGCGAAGGCGGCUACCUGGACAGGUACUGACGCUAACAGCGCGAAAGCUAGGGGAGCAAACA
rnacentral:rRNA from 1 species